rnacentral:rRNA from 1 species
AUUUUGGACAAUGGGCGCAAGCCUGAUCCAGCCAUGCCGCGUGCGGGAAGAAGGCCUUCGGGUUGUAAACCGCUUUUGGCAGGAACGAAACGGCGAUCCCUAAUACGGAUCGUUAAUGACGGUACCUGCAGAAUAAGCACCGGCUAACUACGUGCCAGCAGCCGCGGUAAUACGUAGGGUGCAAGCGUUAAUCGGAAUUACUGGGCGUAAAGCGUGCGCAGGCGGCUUUGCAAGACAGGUGUGAAAUCCCCGGGCCUAACCUGGGAACUGCACUUGUGACUGCAUGGCUAGAGUUUGUCAGAGGGGGGUGGAAUUCCACGUGUAGCAGUGAAAUGCGUAGAGAUGUGGAGGAACACCGAUGGCGAAGGCAGCCCCCUGGGAUAUGACUGACGCUCAUGCACGAAAGCGUGGGGAGCAAACAGG